CAUCAGAGAAAGCCGAGAUGAGCAAAUCCGCCAUUGCGGGUCAUGCCUGCAUGGAGUGAUAUUAACUUACAAGGCUCAAGCUGAAGGUCUUAUCCAUGGCGGUGUGAUUAAACAAGGCUAGCAUAGACAAUAUAGUCCUCAACUUAGUUUGUUGAAGCAUCCAUAGAUACCCAAUGACAUGUGUUGGUUUAUGUCUAGGCUUAGGAAGCCUGGGGAAUUCAGUGUGCAUAGGUGAAAGUCAUCAUUCCUCCAAGUCAUCCAAGCCUUGUGUUUUUGCUUGAAAGCGGCUUCGAGAGACUGGCUGUUGUUGUGGGUACCAAACAGAUGAUAUCGAGUAAAACGGUCCAAUUUAUAAGUGCACGUCAAAAUAUGUAGACACGGAACUGUAUGCUAUCUAGGACUACC
rnacentral:lncRNA from 1 species